rnacentral:rRNA from 1 species
CCCCCACACUGGUACUGAGACACGGACCAGACUCCUACGGGAGGCAGCAGUGAGGAAUAUUGGACAAUGGCGGGAGCCUGAUCCAGCCAUGCCGCGUGCAGGAAGACUGCCCUAUGGGUUGUAAACUGCUUUUACAGAGGAAGAAACACCCCCCACGUGUGGGGGCUUGACGGUACUCUGCGAAUAAGGAUCGGCUAACUCCGUGCCAGCAGCCGCGGUAAUACGGAGGAUCCGAGCGUUAUCCGGAAUCAUUGGGUUUAAAGGGUCCGUAGGCGGGCGUCUAAGUCAGUGGUGAAAUUCUGCAGCUCAACUGUAGGACUGCCAUUGAUACUGGUCGCCUUGAAUUAGUGUGAAGUGGCUAGAAUAUGUAGUGUAGCGGUGAAAUGCUUAGAUAUUACAUAGAAUACCGAUUGCGAAGGCAGGUCACUAACACUAUAUUGACGCUGAUGGACGAAAGCGUGGGGAGCGAACAGGAUUAGAUACCCUGGUAGUCCACGCCGUAAACGAUGGAUACUAGCUGUCCGGCCUGCAUUGGUAGGCUGGGUGGCCAAGCGAAAGUGAUAAGUAUCCCACCUGGGGAGUACGUUCGCAAGAAUGAAACUCAAAGGAAUUGACGGGGGCCCGCACAAGCGGUGGAGCAUGUGGUUUAAUUCGAUGAUACGCGAGGAACCUUACCAGGGCUUAAAUGUAGUCUGACAGGGGUGGAAACACCCCCUUCUUCGGACAGACUGCAAGGUGCUGCAUGGUUGUCGUCAGCUCGUGCCGUGAGGUGUCAGGUUAAGUCCUAUAACGAGCGCAACCCCUGUCGUUAGUUGCCAGCGAGUCAUGUCGGGAACUCUAACGAGACUGCCGGUGCAAACCGCGAGGAAGGUGGGGAUGACGUCAAAUCAUCACGGCCCUUACGUCCUGGGCCACACACGUGCUACAAUGGCAGGUACAAUGGGCAGCCACGCCGCAAGGCGGAGCGAAUCCACAAAACCUGUCUCAGUUCGGAUCGGGGUCUGCAACUCGACCCCGUGAAGCUGGAAUCGCUAGUAAUCGGAUAUCAGCCAUGAUCCGGUGAAUACGUUCCCGGGCCUUGUACACACCGCCCGUCAAGCCAUGGAAGCCGGAAGCACCUGAAGUCCGUCACCGCGAGGAGCGGCCUAGGGUG